CCUACGGGAGGCUGCAGUGGGGAAUAUUGCACAAUGGGGUAAACCCUGAUGCAGCGACGCCGCGUGAGCGAUGCAGUAUUUCGGUAUGUAAAGCUCUGUCAGCCGGGAAGAAAAUGACGGUACCUGACUAAGAAGCCCCGGCUAACUACGUGCCAGCAGCCGCGGUAAUACGUAGGGGGCAAGCGUUAUCCGGAUUUACUGGGUGUAAAGGGAGCGUAGACGGCGCUGCAAGCCAGAUGUGAAAGCCCGGUGCUCAACCCCGGGACUGCAUUUGGAACGGUAUAGCUGGAGUGUCGGAGAGGCAGGCGGAAGUCCUAGUGUAGCGGUGAAAUGCGUAGAUAUUAGGAGGAACACCAGUGGCGAAGGCGGCCUGCUGGACGAUGACUGACGUUGAGGCUCGAAAGCGUGGGGAGCAAACAGGAUUAGAUACCCUUGUAGUC
rnacentral:rRNA from 1 species